rnacentral:rRNA from 1 species
AGCAGCCGCGGUAAUUCCAGCUCCAAUAGCGUAUAUUAAAGUUGUUGCAGUUAAAAAAGCUCGUAGUUGAAUUUCGGGAUCAGUACGUUGGUCGUGCCUUAGGUACGUACUGGUGUUACUGGUUCCUACCUUCUGACGAACCAUCAUGUCAUUAAUUUGGUGUGGCGGGGAAUCAGGACUGUUACUUUGAAAAAAUUAAGAGUGUUUAAAGCAGGCUCGCGCUUGAAUACAUUAGCAUGGAAUAAUGAAAUAGGACGUUGAUCCUAUUUUGUUGGUUUCUAGGAUUGACGUAAUGAUUAAUAGGGAUAGUUGGGGGCGAUUAGUAUUCAAUUGUCAGAGGUGAAAUUCUUGGAUUUAUUGAAGACUAACUACUGCGAAGGCAUUUGCCAAGGAUGUUUUCAUUAAUCAAGAACGAAAGUUAGGGGAUCGAAGACGAUCAGAUACCGUCGU